CGAUGGUUACUCUUCAAAUCUGGCGCGAUGUGUUGAUAUUGCAGGGAAUAAAUUAACGGGUAUGAAAAGUCAUGAUUGUCAUGUCUUUAUGCAACGAUUGCUUCCAAUAGCAUUUGCAGAACUACUUCCACAACAUGUACACGAGAGUCUAUCAGGGAUCAGCUCAUUUUUUCGGGUGAUUUGCAGUCGGACGCUUAAACUUGAAGAUAUCACCAUGCUGAAACAAAACAUAGUUCUGGUGGAUGUACCCGUUUGAAAGAUUUAUGUACCAUUUGAAGAAAGAGGCAAAACAAAAAGCCUUUGUUGAAG